CUAACCGUGGAAAUUGCUGAGGGAUGGACAAAACCUUUGGGGCCUCUCUGGUGCUUUAUUAAGAAAUUUUGAGGUUUCAUGCAUCUAUAACGAAAAAGCCUUCAGAAUCUGCUUGGUCCCCUUCCUCAUCAUAUUCCAGGUUAUGUGAUGAUCAAAUGUAUCUUUGGAGAGAAACAAUGUAAAACAGAGCUAUCAACUAAUGAGUGGAGAAGUCAAGAUGUAAAUAUGGUGGUCAUCAGAAACUGUUGAUCAGGCUUUUUGCUAAUAAUACACUGCUUAUUUGGUAAUUAUUGUUUUUAGUGUGUAUUGCUUGCUUCCUUACAGUUCAUAUGGAUUUUAAAAUACGAAUUAUGAACACUGACUUGUGUACACCAGGAUACCAACAAACACAAAAACACAGGAAAGUGUUUGUCUUUCCUCCUCCACAAUGAGUCACUUUG